UACGAAGGGGGCUAGCGUUGCUCGGAAUCACUGGGCGUAAAGGGUGCGUAGGUCGGGUCUUUAAGUCAGGGGUGAAAUCCUGGAGCUCAACUCCAGAACUGCCUUUGAUACUGAAGAUCUUGAGUUCGGGAGAGGUGAGUGGAACUGCGAGUGUAGAGGUGAAAUUCGUAGAUAUUCGCAAGAACACCAGUGGCGAAGGCGGCUCACUGGCCCGAUACUGACGCUGAGGCACGAAAGCGUGGGGAGCAAACAGGG
rnacentral:rRNA from 1 species